CGGAAGUGCGCAUGCUAUACAUGCAAGUCGUGACGCAGGUAAGCCGUACUGAACCCUUCCGGGGGGACGACGGUGGAAUGAGCGGCGGACGGGUGAGUAACACGUAAAGAACCUGCCCAUAGGUCUGGGAUAACCACGAGAAAUCGGGGCUAAUACCGGAUGUGUCAUCGGACCGCAUGGUCCGCUGAUGAAAGGCGCUCCGGCGUCGCCCAUGGAUGGCUUUGCGGUGCAUUAGCUAGUUGGUGGGGUAACGGCCCACCAAGGCGACGAUGCAUAGCCGACCUGAGAGGGUGAUCGGCCACACUGGGACUGAGACACGGCCCAGACUCCUACGGGAGGCAGCAGUAGGGAAUCUUCCACAAUGGACGAAAGUCUGAUGGAGCAACGCCGCGUGAACGAUGAAGGCUUUCGGGUCGUAAAGUUCUGUUGUAAGGGAAGAACAAGUGCCGCAGGCAAUGGCGGCACCUUGACGGUACCUUGCGAGAAAGCCACGGCUAACUACGUGCCAGCAGCCGCGGUAAUACGUAGGUGGCAAGCGUUGUCCGGGAAUUAUUGGGGCGUAAAGCGCGCGCAGGCGGCCUCUUAAGUCUGAUGUGAAAGCCCCCGGGCUCAACCCGGGGAGGGCCAUUGGAAACUGGGAGGCUUGAGUAUAGGAGAGAAGAGUGGAAAUUCCACGUGUAGCGGUGAAAUGCGUAGAGAUGUGGAGGAACACCAGGUGGGCGAAAGGCGACUCUUUGGCCUAUAACCUGACGCUGAGCGCGAAAGCGGUGGGGGCAGCAAACAGGAUUAGAUACCGCUGGUAGUCCACGCCGUAACGAUGACUGCUAAGUGUUGGGAGGGUUUCCGCCCCUUUCAGUGCUGCAGCUUACGCAUGAGCACCUCCCGGCUGGAGGAGGUGCGGUCGCGGCUGGAAUCUCAAAGGAAGUCGAACGGGGAGCUGUCACAGCGGUGGAUCCAUGUGGUUAUGCAAGCCACGCGUAGAUCGUUAACUACGUCAUGGAACUUCCCCUGACGCUACGAACGUACCGUCCCGUCG
rnacentral:rRNA from 1 species